GGCCACGCGCUCGGGUCCCCUUCCACACUGUGGGAGUUUUGUUCUUUUGCUCUUUGCAAUAAAUCUUGCUACUGCUCACUCUUUGGGUCCACGCUGCUUUUAUGAGCUGUAACACUCACCGGGAAGAUCUGCAGCUUCACUCUUGAGCCCAGCGAGACCACGAGCCCACCGGGAGGAAUGAACAACUCCAGACGCGCUACCUUAAGAGCUGUAACACUCACCGCGAAGGUCUGCAGCUUCACUCCUGAGCCAGCGAGACUACGAAGGAACCCACCAGAAGGAAGAAACUCCGAACACAUCUGAACAUCAGAAGGGACAGACUCCAGACGCGCCACCUUAAGUGCUGUAACACUCACUGCGAGGGUCCGCGGCUUCAUUCUUGAAGUCAGUGAGACCAAGAACCCACCAAUUCCGGACAGAAGGGCCCAGGGAGCAUGGAGUGCAGGGACACUGCCGGCUGCCUUUCACCUUUCUCUCCUUCCCUUCCCCACACAGUCAGUCUGGGGAAUCCCAUUCUUUUCUUUUCUUUUCUUUUCUUUUUUUUUUAAUUUGGAGAUGGAGUCUCAUUGUGUUGCCGAGGCUGGAGUGCAAUGGCCCAAUCUCGGCUCUCACUGCAACCUCUGCCUCUAGGGUUCAAGCGAUUCUCCUGCCUCAGUCCCCCAAGUAGCUGGGAUUACAGGCGCGUGCCACCACGCCCAGCUAAUUUUGUGUUUUUAGUAGAGACGGGGUUUCACCAUGUUAGCCAGGCUGGUCUCGAACUCCUGAUUUCAGGUGAUCCACCCGCCUCGGCCUCCCAAAGUGCUGGGAUUACAGGUGUGAGCCACUGCGCCCGGCCUGGGGAAUCCCAUUCUUAUGAUGUGAUCACCCAGUGUCCCUGUGUCAGACCUCUGGUGCCAAGAGAGACCUUAGAGAUCACCUGAUCCCACGCCUUCAUUUUACAGAUGGAGGAACUGAGGCUCAGGGAGGUGAUUUUUUCCAAGGUCACCUGCCUAGGCUUCCUGGAGCCAGCUCUGUGCUCUUCUAAAACCACCACUUACUUUCCAAUGGAGGGAGGUGACGUGUCGAGCACCUCUCACCUCUAUUAGCCAGCCUGGUGUCUCCUGAAAAGCAGCGAGCAUGUGCAUGUGUGCACUGAUAAUAUGUACCCCUGCAAGUCAGAGAGGGCACGUGCACACCUACGCGUCUUUGCAAACUGCUGGACAUCAUCUGCUGCAGAUGCAGAGGUCCUGCUCUGUGACCCACACUCUGAGCUCUAAGGAGAAGGAAACACACCCACACCCACACCCUUGAGAACUCACCACAGGGAAGAGUCCACGGAGGCAGACCCAGAACGGAGUGCAGAGAGCAAUGGGAACCGCCUGGGAAUUGUUCUCAAUUGUGUCCUCACGCCCACACACUGACCUCCCGGGGCUCUGCAGCCAGGCUCCCUGUGCCUUCCUCGCCCCGGGGAGAGUCUGAACUCCCAGAAUGCGUGUGUGUGCAUCCCCUGCCCCUGCAGAAGACUCUCAACGGAUCCAGCUAAGUCACCAGCCCAAACGCAAGCCCAAGUCUUGGCGUGACAGGGGCAUUCAGCACUCACAGUUUAUCUGUGGAGAAGAAUCCCAGGCACUGGGUUUCAGAAUCAAGGGCACUAGUGCGGAGGAAGUCUCCAUCAGCCCUCACCUGACUCCUGGCGCUGUGGGUCCCUGAGGGCCCCAGGCAGCUCACCAAUUCUCUGCUUCCCAUGGAUGCUUGUGGUUACUGGCUGACCUCAGUGUCUCUCCCCAGGAUAACAGGACUAGGGGAGUCUCCCUUCACAGUUUGAAAGCACCUUAGUUCCUCCUACUGUCUCAAACCUCUCCAUGGGCGCUGGCAGACCUGCUAUGAUUUUCAUCCUACAGAUGAGGCCCCAGAGGCUUGAGGGUGAAUGGUGCUCAAGGGUGAGGUCUCUCUGAGGCUGGUGCCCUCCCCACACCCGGGGCACUGCCUGACAGCUAUCCCCCAAGACCCCACUCCCUUCAGCCACUGGGACUUCCCUCCCAAUGCAGGCCGUGUGUGCCCUGCUCCUGUGCAGCGGCAGGACAGGUUUCCAAAAACCAACGGCAAAGUUUCCUGAAAGGCUCUGGCUUCCAGGACUCUUGGCAGGGCUCUGCCCAGGAAGCAAUGAGCUGGCACUUUCCUGGCUGUGUGCUUAUAGCUGACCCUGGCCUCAGAGGCCUUCCUCUCCUUAUCAGGAAAGGAUGCCAAGGAGGAGGGAGGAGGCUCUGGGGAGAGUCCAGGCCUUUGUGUGAACCAUCCUAAGGGAAGUGGAUGCUUCUGAGCAGCCCUGCCCGGCUCUGGGCCUUGCCCGCCCUCAUCUUCAGCAGGGCUUUGGCACUGGAAAGAAUGAGCUUCAGCUCCUGAGCCUUGCAGGAGUCAGAGGUCAGCAGAUUCCAGGGCUCAGCCUUUCCGCCUCAGUCAGAAACUCUCAGCAGACCAAAGGCCUGGGCUACAGUCCACUGAGAGUUUUUGACCAAGGCAGAAAUUCUUCUCCACAGAUAAACUGUGAGAUAAACUGGGUGGGGACAUCAGCAGCCUCCUCUCUGACGGGCAAAGUUCUUGGGGCCUGCCAUGUGACCACCCAGCCUGGACUCCCUGCCAACACACACACAAAACAAGGCCCCUGCUAGACCCCAGUGCCUGGGCCCAGCUACUGGGCUGGCUUCUCUGCUGGUGUCCAAGGCUCACAGAUUCCUGUUCUGCUUUCCCUCCAGACAUCCUCUCUGGUCUUCCUGGUCUACCCUCAGGCACACAGGCCUCUCCUCCCCUUAUGCCUCUGUCAGCUCUCUCCUCUGCCUGGACCGCUCUCCCCUCAUCCCUCAGCCCCAGCUCUCCCCUCAAUCCCUGGGAUGCCUGUAUGGACCUCCCGGAGGGCUGGUCCCUCUGUCCCACGCCCUGGACUUCUCUGCAGCACUCCUCAUGGCCACCGUGACUCUCUUGGGGGUGAUCCGUUGACUCACUCCGGCUGCAGGAGGGCUGGGACAGUGCCUGCUGCCUGUGUGCUGGCCAGACACAGUGGGAGUGCCCGCCCAUGCUUACUGGGGAAGCAGAGACAAUGGAAUGUUUUAGCAGGAUUGGGGUCUUCAGAAGGUACUUCCAUGAGGUCCUGCAUACAGCUGGGGUAGGAGGAGGCAGUUUAGGGCCUGGACGAUGUGGGGCUGACAUGAGAGAACAGGCCAGGGUAGGGUGCUGGGCAGGUGGGUCAGAGGGGCAGUCGUCCGCCUGGUACACAAUGUCUUAUAUAUGUUUGCAGGGGUGAAAAGAGACCUGUUCAGGGGCAGUGCCCAGUGAGGAGACCCUCAAACGAGAGGCAGAGUCCCUCAAGCCUUUGUACAAUGCCACCAAGGGUGCUGCCCCUUCUUCAACAGAACGUCCUCCUUGCAGGGAGGCUGCAGUGAUGUCAGAGAUGGUGGGUUCAAACCUGCUCCUGUCUUCUCUCUGUAGCCUCCCUUUCCUCAUCUGUGAAGUGGGGAUGAUAAGAGCUAACUGGCAAGGUUAUUGGGUGGUCAGCUGAGGGAAAGUUCUUGAAAGGUGUUACUGAAUCAAACGUCAUUUUGCUUUUUCCUUCUCGCAGAAUCACAGGCCAGAGGUGAGAGCUGGAGAAAGGGAAACUCUCCCAGUCCCUGGGAGUGGUCAUUACAGACUGGGAAAUCGCUCUCCAGCUGAUGCACAGGUCUGCCCUGGAAGGGCUCCUUUCCAGGGCUCAGGGACUCUGUGACUCCUUUUGGGGAGCAGAGUUGUGGACAAGAGUGCAUUUUUCUAGAGAGAUGGUCCACAAGCCAUCCAGAGCCAGGCUCUGUCUCCAGGUACCCUUGAUCCUUGGAGACCUCCCUCAGGUCCUGGCUUUCUUUUUGGAUUCAGGAUUUCCCUGUGUUCCCCAGGCUGGAGGGCAGUGGCUUACUGCCGCCUCCACCUCCUGGGCUCAAGCAUUCCACCUGCCUCAGCCUCUCAAGUAGCUGAGACCACAGGCACACACCACCAGACCCAUAGAACUUUUUUAUUUUUUGUAAAGACAGGGUCUCACUAUGUCUUUACAUAGUGAGGUCUCGAACUCCUGGGCUUAAGUGAUCCACCCACCUCGGCCUCCCAAAGUGCUGGGAUUACAGGCAUGAGCUACCACGCCUGGCUUAGUUAGCCCUGGCUUUCAAUUCCAUCUCUGUUCUCCAGGACAAGCUGUCUCUGCAACUCCAGGCUCUUCUGGAAGCUGCCACCAAUGCCUUUUCCACGUGGGGAGCUGCUUGAGGUUCCUUCCUCCCUUAACUCAAAUGAUGACAACUCCAGCUUUUGGUUACUCAGGCCAAACUCUCAGAGUCAUUCUAGACCCUUCUCUUUCAAAAUGUACACCCAAUCUAUCAGCCAGUCCUGUCAGCUCUAUUUUAAAAUAUAUGCAGAAACUAAACGAUAGUGGUAGAAAAUAGAUCCGAGGGGCUUGGAGUGUGGAAUAAGGGGGAUACAAAAGAACAGGAGAAAAUUUGGAAGCUGAUGGGAAUGUGAAGUAUCUUGACUGUGGAGAUGGUUGAGUGGGUGUAUAUGUGUGUCAAAAUACAAUAAAUUGUACACUAUAUGUGUGGUUUAAUAUGUGCUAGUUAUGCCUCAAUAAAACUGUUUUUUUUUUUAAGUCAGAU
rnacentral:lncRNA from 1 species